UUACCGAACCUUCAGCACUGAACUCGAUAGUCAAUAGGUUUGUUCGUUUUGACAAAAAGUGUACAAUUUUUCACAACAAGUGUACACCCAAGCGUUCGUUUUAAAAUAGUGUAGUCGUACACGGUACACGCCGUAUGUAUUAAAAAAGUGUUGUAUUAGUGUACACUUUUUUCACACCGACCGUAGACGUAGAGUAGGUGUGAUAAGUGAUUAUACAUAGUAAUUACUGUGAUACUUAAUUUUCGGUGUUGGUCGUUAUCAUAUUUAUUAUCAACUAAUUUUUAUAAUCAAUUCUACUAUCAAUAGAAAUAAAUUAUCGGUUAAUUAAUCUACACCAAAAGGCAAAAACGUUUGUUUUGAAAUACCACACCUGAUCACUCAUCACACCCCUGACCCCUUACACUUCGAUCAGACACUACUGACUACACUAAUUACUAAUUAGUAUACACUUUUUUUCAAAACAAACAAACGUAAUAGGUAGCAUGAAUCACAAAUCAAGAUUAUAUAGUGCGGAUUAGUGAUUCUAAUGUUUGUCAAUAGCAAUAUAAUCAAAUCAAUAAAAUAUAAAUUAUCUAACGAACAUCAGCUUGGAUCAUUCCUACAUACAGAUAUAUUUUUGUUAUUAAUGUGUACAGUUUAGCUGUAAGUGGCAUAGUAUUUGUAUAGUAGUUUGGUAUAGUAUUUGUGGCAGUUAAAUAACUAUCAAUGAUGCUGUCUUUAAGUAUAGAGUCAUUAAUUUCAGAGAUGGAACAGUUAUUAUACUCUGGAAAAACAGGAUGUGACAUAAAAGCACUAACAGGAGAGUCAGAACAUAGAAACAUUGAUGAUCUAUUGAGUGAAGCUGAUAAACUAAUUACUGAGACUCUUCCAUAUUUUCAAUCAAUUUCUGACGUUGACAAAAUAUCAAAUUCAACUGACAUUUCAAGUUUCGACUAUAAUAAUACAGCUCAACUUACCUCUUUAUCACAUCACAAUUCAGCAAAGAAAGAAGCUAAAAAUCAAAUAAAAGAAAUGACUGUCAGGAAUUCUAAAACAGGGGGCCUCAGUAUGAACAAGUCUAUAACAAACUGCGAGGAUGACAAUAUUUCAAUUCUUCCAUUCAACAAUGUUUUGACAUCUAAGGAUUCUGAAGUCAAUGAAACUAAAAAAACAACAUCAGUGUGUAGUGUAAUACUAAACUGUCAUAAAGGAUUAGAAAAUAUGAUUUGUGAAAAUCAAAACGGUGUUCAACAAUCCGAUCAGACCAAAGAAACGAAUUUAAAAGAAGCGUUAAAUUAUUAUAAACUUCGAUAUCAGGAACUUGAAGAAAAAUAUUUGAACCAGGAAAAAAAAAUACUUAAUUGGGAAAUUCGAUAUCAGGAUCUAAAUUACUAUUGUGAAAGGGUUCUAAAGAAAGAAAUUGAAAAAAAGUUAAAGUGUUACGAGAAUCUGUUAAAUGGAAUAAUUAGUCGCAGUUUAAAAAGAGAGACGCAAUUGUCUAUUAUUAUUAGUAAUCUAUUGGACGAAAUUGACAAUUUACAAAUGCGAUACAGAGUAAAAUUAAACGAAAGAAAUAUUCAAGUAAAGGCGUAUCUUGAUCAAAUAGAACGAAUAUUCAGUAAUGUUUAUGAAUUGAGAAGUUAUAACUUACAAAGAUAAUAAAGAAUUUAAAAUUUAAAUACCUCAAGUCAACAAGAAUGGCCAUAUUUAUUUUUCGCUAAACGGUUGGCGAAGAUAAGACAGGUCAAAGUUUUCAAGAUCAUUUGGCAGGCCUCUAAAAGAUGUACAUUAACGUAACACCGAUUCAGUUGUUUAGAAAAGAGCAAAUUCUCCUAAAGUCUCAUAUGUCCCUAAACAGUAAACAUAUAAUUUGUAAGGAUGAAUUGAAAAGAAACAUUAAAUUUAAAAACAACAGAUUUACUUACUGUUGUGGUAAUGUGCUGACAUCGGCGGUUGUAUUAGAAAACGCCAAAAAGAGAACAAAUCCGACUAUCAACGGUAAAACCCUGUAAAUAACAAAAACAAAACGUGAGUUUAACGAAUUGAAUGUCAUGUAAUAAAAAAAUUAAAUAUCAUAAACAAACGCUAUUCGACGCUUUUUUAUUUAUUUAUUACGUAUGGCUUUAUUGACAGAAAGUAGAUUUUUUAAGGCCUAGUUCGGUUGCUUUUGAGGAGCAUUUUGUCUCUGUAGACAGUUGCCUGCCUAAAGAGACGUCGAAGAGACAUAAACACGGAUCACGAGAACUUGGAAGACUUACUUUAACAUCUUGUGCUCGACGUUACCUAUUGUCCACGAAAAUGUUAAUGCGGGCUACACGUUAAGCAAGGGGUUUUAUAGGGGAUUUUUCUUGUAUAAAUAAUGUCUAUCCGAAGACUGUUUUCCGACUCGUUGGGCUGUGUUUUACUCAUCACCAAAUAAUGCGUACAUUAGAACUAUUUUUAUUUUCGAAAAUAUUCUCUUAUCUGUAUAAAACACACAAAAACAGAAUGUAACAAUAACAACAACGUGGUCUAUGGGGUGUCACAUCGGUGUGAAAUUAAUUUUUGUCGACCUAUUAUCAUGCAUUCGCCAGUUGCACUCAUUCAUUAUUUUUACUGAGCGUCGCAUUAAGAACGCAUGAAUGAAAAUCUAGGUGAUUUUCUGGGCGCUGUAGAACUUAGAUAUAAAAACGUGGUGACGUUAAGGAUACCUCUAUAAUAUGGGUUUUGGUUAAAGAAUCUUUUUUCGGUAUACUAAAUAUUUUCACCUACGCAUUUUUAGGUCAGUAAUAAAUGUAUCCAUUUUUUAAAUCUUCUACACGUUUUGAUCUAAUUUAUUGUUCAAAUUAAUUUGCUUAUACAGAUCGUAUCUAUUUAUAGCGGAAAAUAACUUGAGUGUACAUUAGUCUGGAUUACCAUAAUAUUCGUAGAAAAUAUAUUGUAUGUUUUGAUUUUUAAAUUAUAUAACAUUAUUCUAAAAAACUUUUUAAAGAUUAAAAUGUAGUAUAUUUGGCUAUUUAUAUGUGCAUAAUUAUUAUUUUUUUAAAUUAUCCGGUAUCCCAUCAUAUUAAGAGUUUACUAAGCAAAAAUCCUGUUAUGAGUUCAUAAUUUUGUGACUUACCUUUAUUAUUUGAUUUAAAAAACAAAAAUUACAGUAUAAGCGACAACUAUUCUAUCAUAAAACAAAUGUGUGUAGAAUAAGAUUUUCCAUAUGCACUUCGCUAACGGACGUGUAAAAGUGUGUUGUUCUAAGUUCUGAUUAUGAUUUUAGCUUGUGUUAGCAACACAUAUUUAUAAAACAAGAAAACAAAUGUUGGUGUGUGUUAAAUCGACUAGACAAUGUUUAUGAACGUAUGCGGUGUGAAGGUUUUUUAUUAUUAUUGUUAUGUACAUUAUGUUACUGUUACUCAAUUCAGGGCUACACUUUACUACAUGUAUAUUUGUAUUACACUGUGUGUACUAACUACUAUGUAUAAUAAAAUAGUUUUUUUUUGUGUCUGUAAGCAUGAUAACUGUUUUCCGCAGACUACACUAAAAUCUCUACAGAUCAGAAAUUGUGUGCGAUUAAUAAUUUGUGGAAGACGGAAGCCAUUUUUUGUGAAUUCAUUUUUAUUAUUUGCUGAAGACAAUUAAAUAUUGCAAAUUACUGCAAGUUUACUUGGAUGUUAUUAUUAUUAUUAUUGAAUUGUAGUGACUGGUGUUAUUGACUUUUAACAAGUCGCUGUUCUAAGAUUGAUUAUUGUUAUAAUAUUAAUAAUUAAGUAUUAAAAUCUGUAGUGACAAUUAAAAACUUGGAGAUAACUUUGACACAGGACUUAUCAUUUUCAAAUUAUAUUUAUAAUACUUUCAAUAAAGCAAUGAAAGAGUUGUUUUUUUAAUAAAAGAAAUAGUUGGGAAUUACAAAAUCAUGCUUAAAAAUACUUUACGCCACUUUUCUACUAUACAAAAUGAAUCAAUAGAUGUAGUAAUAGACAAAAGUGUGGCGCGAGUCUUCAGAGUACUUUUAUAUUUUGUAAAUAAAAAACAUAGGUAGACAUUGGUACGUCCAAUAGUUUUAUAUGUUUCUGAGAGAUUGUCCUUUAGAUAGGCAGAGGUAAGCAGAUUAGGUGUAUUUGAGAGAAAAAAUCUAAAAAGAAUAUAUGUGUCGACACCCAAACAGGAGAACGUAGAAAAGACAUUAUAGAAGCUAUUCAAAUAAGUUAUUUCAAAGUCCGGAUUUCUAAAAUAAAUUUCAAAGAGAAAACUUGUGUGAGCGGGUCAUGCGUAAAGAAAACGAGGUUCUUUAGUAAGGGCAACCAUCGAAUAAAAGAUCACCGGUAAGCGGCCUCUGGGAAGACCACGUCUACGAUGGGAAGAUUUUUUUUAAACAUGGUGUAAAACAAUUCGAACCCGAUUUGCAGUGGAGGAUAGUAGCAGUCGAUAAGGAGAAAUGGAGAGAAAUGUGUAUGGACCAAGAAGACCAAAGAAGAGAGAGAGGAAGAAAGAGCACAGGUAGUCACGGUUUUAUAGACUUUUGAAUAGUGUUAAAGUAACAUAAUGAUCAAAAGUCAAAACUAAUGAAUAUACUAUUUCAGAGAGCUAUUAGUUGGUGGACAUUCAAAAUUGUACUUAGUAACGAAGUUAUGGUUAAUUA